AAAGUAAACAGGGCAAUCGCCGGUGGAUGACCGCAAGGUACCACGGGAGGAAAGUCCGAGCUCCACAGGGCAGGGUGCCGGCUAACGGCCGGUGGGGGCAACCCUAAGGCUAGUGCCACAGAAAUAAAACCGCCGAUGGAAGCUUUACAGCUUCACAGGUAAGGAUGCAACGGUGCGGUAAGAGCGCACCAGCAGCAUGGAGACAUGCUGGCUAGGUAAACCCCACCUGGAGCAAGACCUUACAGGAAUCUGCACAUUGAUGCAACUGUAGCCCGCAGUGAUUCCGGGUUGGUCGCUUGAGUGAUGCAGCAAUGCAUCACCUAGACAGAUGAUUGCCACUCCGCAUGUGGGAGGCGAAGCGACAAGAGAUCGCCGAUGUACCACUUGGAGGACAGAACUCGGCUUACUGUUUGCUUUCCUG
rnacentral:RNase_P_RNA from 1 species